rnacentral:rRNA from 1 species
AUGAGAAGAGUCACCAGGAGCGCUGCUGCCAAGGGUUUAUCUCCCCUUGCUGGAAUAGUGGCUCGUAGAGCUGGUGGUGCUAGGAAGGAUCCUGCUUUGGAUUCUGGCAAUGUUUUAAGCACGAAGCGUGCGCCCAGAUCUCCUAUAAAGUUUUGCUUCCCUGUGCAGCAGCUUCAGCCUCAUAAUUUCCCUCAUCUGGACAAGGCUCGCAAGUUGUAUAAUAUGUCGCUUAGUGAUGAAGCAUGUGAGAAGAAUACAUUCUCAAUGAUACCUCAGCCCGAUGAAAGCGUAACUAGCUUCACUGGGAAACACAUCUGGGAAGUUUUUGCACCUGGGCAAAUGAUGGAGGGUGAUGUAAUGGACUUCCUCAUUGAUGAUUGGAAGAAAGAUCCCGAGAGAAAUGCUGAUUUUGCGUCCGGAAAAAGGGUAUUGCUGAGUCCAUAUUUCAUCACGAUCAUGAUGCCUCUAUUCAAACCUAUGAUUUUACCAAAGGAUAAGAAAGUGAACCACUUUUCCUUAUAUGUCAUGAAUCGGUACCGAAGUAGCGUUGACAUCCUUGACUCUUUAUCUUAUUUGAAGAACCAUCGUCCUUCAAAGAACACCUAUCAUAAAAACUGCGAGAAGAUUAUUUCUAGAUUGGUCCAAGUAAUGAAGGCUGUGUAUGGUGAUGCUCAGUACAAUGCGAGCAAGCAGCCCAAAUGGGAGCUUUUUGCAAAGAAACCAGCGUUUGUCAAGGUUCCACUUCAAGGGCCGAAUGAAUGUGGCCAUUAUACUCUGAAGUAUGGGGGAUCCUAUGAUGGUGAAAAGAUCGUUGAGAACAUUCAAAAUAAUGACCCUCAUAUUGUCGAUUGGAACGCUGAGGAUCUGUAUAGAGUUGUGUUCAACCGGAAUAACCAGCUUCUGGUGACGGAGCUUCCCAAGGAGGUUCAGGCUUUGGCUCCUGGUGCAUAG